CUACGGGGCGCAGCAGUAGGGAAUCUUCCACAAUGGGCGAAAGCCUGAUGGAGCAACGCCGCGUGAGUGAAGAAGGUUUUCGGAUCGUAAAACUCUGUUGUAAGGGAAGAACAAGUACAGUAGUAACUGGCUGUACCUUGACGGUACCUUAUUAGAAAGCCACGGCUAACUACGUGCCAGCAGCCGCGGUAAUACGUAGGUGGCAAGCGUUGUCCGGAAUUAUUGGGCGUAAAGCGCGCGCAGGCGGUCCUUUAAGUCUGAUGUGAAAGCCCACGGCUCAACCGUGGAGGGUCAUUGGAACUGGGGGACUUGAGUGCAGAAGAGGAAAGUGGAAUUCCAAGUGUAGCGGUGAAAUGCGUAGAGAUUUGGAGGAACACCAGUGGCGAAGGCGACUUUCUGGUCUGUAACUGACGCUGAGGCGCGAAAGCGUGGGGAGCAAACAGGAUUAGAUACCCGGGUAGUC
rnacentral:rRNA from 1 species